AGACCCCCCAGCUGCAGUGUUCCCUGCUGCCUCUUGCUUACUGUGGUGUCUCAUUCCUGUUUGGAUCAGCAAUCCUGUAUUCCAUGCAGAUUUACUUCUCUGGCACUGCUCUGAGACGGCAAGCUUCUAAAGGAAUUGAGACUCCAAGAGACUCAAGAUGCCUCAGAAGUUCCUUUUGUGGAAAGCUGAACAUUUCUCUCAUGUGCUGGCCCUGUAUUAUGAUUUUUUUUUCUGAAACAGUCACCUCCUGUCACAAGGAUAAGUCGACUGUUCCCAGGGCAUCCCAGAGAAGCCUGAAGUAGAGUUGCUGGUGCGCGCUGAAGAGGCCUUAAGUGAGGCCACAAAGAAAUCUGACUAGGAACACAGCAUUCUUUGAGCCAGCCUUGCGAAGGCCGCCUGCAGUGAGGCUGGCCCCGCCUGAGUCAUCUCUGAGUGGGAAGGACUGGAGCCAGCUGUCUCCCCAGGCUGGGGUUUGCAUUUCUCUGCCAAAGUCACACUUCAAGCAAGUGAAACAGUCCUGAGUUGUUAGCUGGGGUCAGAGUCACAGCACCACUCAACAGACUUCCCUCUCCCCUGCUGUCCUCCUUCCGUCCUCUGCUUCCCAGCUUUCACAGGGGCCGAGGCCCUUAGGGGAGGCACAUUGCAUUCUGACUGUCCAAGAAGAGUCUAUGUUCUGACACGAUUGCCUCCCAGAACUGCAAUUCUAUUCAUUCUAUUAAAAAACAAACAAACAAACAAAAAAAACUCCACC
rnacentral:lncRNA from 1 species